UAUUGCUUUCUAGUAGAAACUAAGUAACAGUAUUGCUUGCUAGUCCACAAAAUCAUACCCGCCAUUUCCAACCAUCCGCCAAACUAUGUCGUUGUACGAAGAAAACAUUUCGAAUGAAACGAAGGAAAGUCGACAUCAGAGAAUACAGGAAGAUUGGGAUAAUCGCGAAUACGUUGAAGCAGUAACGAGUAGCAUCAGAAAGAUGACGACAUUUCUAAAUUUAUUCGAUGCUUCGUGCAGGAGUCGUCUGACAUUUUUGAAUCAAAAAUUGUCUUCGCUAGAGCGAAAAAUUGAUUAUAUCGAAGCAAGAAUUGAGAAGAAGGCAACGUGAUUUGUGUUUGUUUAUUAUAAUGGACAAAAAUGGUGUUUACAACUGCAGGGUAACCCUUUCCACAUAAAAAAACAGCGCCCUUCUACAAAAGUGAGGACAAUUCAUGCACAAAUUGAACUUAUGUGUGUGAAUGAUUGUAUCCAAAGGUUUUAGAAAUCAAGGAAGCUUUGAACUGAAGUUAUGUUAUCUCUAGUAUAUGUCCUGAAUCACCUCCUCGGUAUUGUAGUCCGUUACGUCCCAGAUUACUGACUCAUUCGGGUACAGUCAUACACAAACAGUUCAAGCGUAUUUUAUACUUGAUGUUAUGUUCUCUCUAUGACGGUGGUUCUCAAACUUUAUAAGCCGCCCCAAACCCCCCUCCUCUUCCUUAGAAUUUGCCAAGUCUCGAGCCACUCCUUAAAAAAUAACUAGCUAACAAGUUUAGGAAGCCCUGAUCAAACUUAUCAAGUUCACAUCUGUAGUAUGUUUUGCAGCCCUAUCCUCGAAAUUCUUGGGUAUUAGGUAAAUAAUUUCGAACCCAUAGAGCAGACAUGGUUCGUUGUGCUUUGUAAAUCUUUUACAGCAGUCAAAAAUAAAAGUAAAAAUAAAAGUUUGAGUUAGCUCUCUCAAAAAUAACUAGCUAACAAUAAGCUACAAAUAACAGAUAGUAAGGCGAAAGUAUGUUUUAUUCAAAAAACACGUUGAAAAUACGUAUGGAUGAAGCGUAGAUAUCCAAAAUAGGGCGAGCAAUAUCAAAUUCAACAAAUAUUUUUAAUUAGCUUUACGCCCCCUUAAAAAAUUGUAUAUGCUACCCUUGUGAGGCGCGCCCCAUCGUUUGAGAACGACUUCACUAGAAUAUGUUCCAAAUGACCUGGCUUCUGUUUUUUUUUUGGGUCACCAUGUACUAAAUGGGCUUUGUUUGUCAUGUUUUUCUCUAAGAGCGGACUUAUUUUCAAACUCUUCGGAGUCAUGUAUUGGACUUUCAAUGGUCGUAAAAGAAAUUUGAAACUGGGUUCUGAAUUUCUAUUUCCCAAGCUAGACCGGAGCAGGUAGCGGGGAAUAGCUAGCCCGAACACAUAGUUUUCAAGUAUCCUGAGAGUCUAAAAAGCAUGUGAAUGAUACAGAAGAAUGCUCACAUUUAAAAAGGGAGGACAGUUCCCCUGGCUAGGUUCUGAUAUUCCAGGAAUGUUUUUAUCGAAUCAGCUCUUAUCCGAUUCUCGCGCUAACUGAGGAUGAUGGACUUAUAUUCGUAAAGAUUUGUAUUCUGAUUGAUAUCCUACGCUACACAACUUAUUACAACAUUCUAAGCAUUUUUUUCGACGUUUUUUAUUUUAUAUGGGCACCCACUGAGCUUCUUGUAAACUAUCUAGCGCUCGACUAAUCAAGCAAAUAAUAAUUCAGUCUUUUUUAUAUUUUGUGAGGUUUUCCUAUUUUUCAUUAUUUUUAUUAAUAUUAUUCAGAGAAAUAAAGCAAUUUGAUAAUCUA